rnacentral:rRNA from 1 species
GGGUCAGUAGGUUGGUCGUGCCACCGGUACGUACUGGUCUCACUGAUUCCUCCUUCCUGAAGAACCGUAAUGCCAUUAAUUUGGCGUUGCGGGGAAACAGGACUGUUACUUUGAAAAAAUUAGAGUGUUUAAAGCAAGCUAACGCUUGAAUACAUUAGCAUGGGAUAAUGAAAUAGGACGAUCGAUCCUAUUUUGUUGGUUUCUAGGAUUGACGUA